rnacentral:rRNA from 1 species
GAUGAACGCUGGCGGCGUGCCUAACACAUGCAAGUCGAGCGGGAUCUUGCUAAAUGACGCUUCGGUUGAUUUUAGUAAGUGAGAGCGGCGGACGGGUGAGUAACGCGUAGGCAACCUGCCCUUUGCAGAGGGAUAGCCAUUGGAAACGAUGAUUAAAACCUCAUAAUGCCAGACUGAGACAUCUCUAACUGGCCAAAGAUUUAUCGGCAAAGGAUGGGCCUGCGUCUGAUUAGCUAGUUGGUGGGGUAACGGCCUACCAAGGCGACGAUCAGUAGCCGACCUGAGAGGGUGAUCGGCCACAUUGGAACUGAGACACGGUCCAAACUCCUACGGGAGCAGCAGUGGGGAAUAUUGCACAAUGGGCGAAAGCCUG